UACGUAGGGGGCUAGCGUUGUCCGGAUUUAUUGGGCGUAAAGAGCGUGUAGGCGGCCAGGUAGGUCUGGUGUGAAAUCCCGAGGCUCAACCUCGGGUCUGCAGUCGAUACGAGCAAACUAGAGUGUUGCAGGGGAGACUGGAAUUCCUGGUGUAGCGGUGAAAUGCGCAGAUAUCAGGAGGAACACCGGUGGCGAAGGCGGGUCUCUGGGCAACAACUGACGCUGAGGAGCGAAAGCGUGGGGAGCAAACAGG
rnacentral:rRNA from 1 species